GACGAACGCUGGCGGCGUGCUUAACACAUGCGAGUCGAACGGAAAGGCCCUGCCUUGGUGGGGUGCUCGAGUGGCGAACGGGUGAGUAAAACGUGAGUAACCUGACCUUGACUUUGGGAUAAAUUCAGGAAAAUGGGGCUAAUACCGGAUAGGAGCUUCUGAUGCAUGGGGGGGGUUGGAAAGUUUCGGCGGUUGGGGAUGGACACGCGGCUUAUCAGCUAGUUGGUGAGGUAGUGGCUUACCAGGGCUUUGAGGGGUAGCCGGCCUGGGAGGUUGAGCGGCCACCAUGCUCCUGCGAUACGCCCCAGUCUCCUACGGGCGGCAGCAGUGGGGAGUCUUGCACAAUGGCCCGAAGCCUGUUGCGGCGACGCCGCGAUCGGAAUGACGGCCUUCGGGUUGUAAACCGCUUUCGCCUGUGCCGAGGCCUGCUUGACGGUAAUGGGUAAAGAAGCACCGGCUAACUACGUG
rnacentral:rRNA from 1 species